CCUCCAUGAGGUUGAGGGUGCCGAGAGACUUUAUCAUUAGCAGCGUCUGUGCCUCUGCUGGACUCCAGGUUCGCAAUCUCCUUCAUCUGCACAAGGCGAACAUCUAGAAAUCGUGGGGAUGGUGUCUCCCAUACACGGCGAGGAAUGAGUGAACUGAGAACUUUCGGAACAACAUCUCCAGUGCUUCACACAGUGUGGAGGAGUGAUCAUUACUACUAUCUGCGACCAGGUCGUCUGCCAGCCCAGUGAAGGUAUUAAAUGCUAAUAAUCCAGCCAAGUUUCUAAGAAGGGAAAAAUAAAAUGUAAUAAUAU
rnacentral:lncRNA from 1 species